AGUGAACGCUGGCGGUAGGCCUAACACAUGCAAGUCGAACGGCAGCACAGGAGAGCUUGCUCUCUGGGUGGCGAGUGACGGACGGGUGAGGAAUACAUCGGAAUCUACUCUGUCGUGGGGGAUAACGUAGGGAAACUUACGCUAAUACCGCAUACGACCUACGGGUGAAAGCAGGGGAUCUUCGGACCUUGCGCGAUUGAAUGAGCCGAUGUCGGAUUAGCUAGUUGGCGGGGUAAAGGCCCACCAAGGCGACGAUCCGUAGCUGGUCUGAGAGGAUGAUCAGCCACACUGGAACUGAGACACGGUCCAGACUCCUACGGGAGGCAGCAGUGGGGAAUAUUGGACAAUGGGCGCAAGCCUGAUUCAGCCAUACCGCGUGGGUGAAGAAGGCCUUCGGGUUGUAAAGCCCUUUUGUUGGGAAAGAAAUCCAGCUGGCUAAUACCCGGUUGGGAUGACGGUACCCAAAGAAUAAGCACCGGCUAACUUCGUGCCAGCAGCCGCGGUAA
rnacentral:rRNA from 1 species